rnacentral:rRNA from 1 species
AUGAAAGAAUUUUUAAUGGCCGCAGUACCCUGACUGUGCUAAGGUAGCAUAAUCAAUUGGCCUUUAAUUGAGGUCUAGAAUGAAUGGAUAUACGGAAGUGAUCUGUCUCUUUCAGAGUUUGUUGAACUUAUCUUUAAAGGUGAAAAGGCCUUUAGUGCGAAAAUAGACGAGAAGACCCUAAGAGUUUUAAUUAUAAGUAAAGGUUUUUACUUUUUUUUUUUGCUGGGGCGGCAGAGAAACAAAUAACCUUCUUGCUUUUAUUAAUAAAAUUGACGCGAAAUUUAUGAAGAACUAAUAAACUACCUUAGGGAUAACAGCAUAAUUAUUUUAAUGUUUGUGACCUCGAUGUUGGACUAGGAAAGCUUUGCGGCUAGCCGCCGAAAGUAAUAUGUUCUGUUCGAACACU